rnacentral:rRNA from 1 species
GACAGAGGGUGCAAACGUUGUUCGGAAUUACUGGGCGUAAAGCGCGUGUAGGCGGCCAUCUAAGUCGGGCGUGAAAUCCCACGGCUCAACCGUGGAAGUGCACUCGAAACUGGAUGGCUAGAGUCCUGGAGAGGAAGGUGGAAUGCUUGGUGUAGAGGUGAAAUUCGUAGAUAUCAAGCGGAACACCGGUGGCGAAGGCGGCCUUCUGGACAGUGACUGACGCUGAGACGCGCAAAG